UUGAGCACUUAGUUUAUUUUUCACUUUGUUAUUUGCUCUCAAAUUAUCAAACACUUUCAUUUUAUCCUCAAUUAAAGUUCCAACACCUUUUAGUUCGUCAUUCGUUCUUGUUCAUUCAAUUUCAAUCCAUUUACUUAGGGUUUUUUCUCAGAGUAUGUUUUAGUGAGAGAGAGCUAUUACAUCAGUCGCGUUUGAAGUUGCUUGGAUUGUGAGGUUAUUAGAGGAAUUAGGUGUCAACAAUUUGAAGGUCGUAAGUUUGUAACCCUGCAUAAUGAUCAUCAAAUUAAGUACCUUGCACAUAUCCAUAAAUCCCAUGUUCCAUAAAAGAACAUAAGGUAGCUCACACUCUGUCUAGAAGAUCUGUAUGAUAUUCUUUUUGUUCCAGACCUAUACUCGAGCAUUUAUCUGGUUUCGUUCUUGUAUGAGUUCAGCAUGUUGGCAUCAACAUUAUCCUAGUGAUCACCCAACGUGAGAAGGAGCAACAUGAGAAUGAAGGCCGUGACACUCAAGUUUCAUCAUAUAAGCUACUACCACUGUUAGAUUCUAGUUUUCUAGGCUUUAUUACAUCUUCGGUUUAGUAACGUAGAUACAAUUUGUAACUUUAUUGAUGUCUGGACUAUUUAGUUAGUAACAUUUAUGUACUAUGGAUUUUGGUUAGUACUA